AUCCUGGCUCAGAUUGAACGCUGGCGGAAUGCUUUACACAUGCAAGUCGAACGGGUAGAGGGGGGCAACCCUCGAGAGUGGCGAACGGGUGAGUAAUAUAUCGGAACGUGCCCAGUAGUGGGGGAUAACUGCUCGAAAGAGCAGCUAAUACCGCAUACGACCUGAGGGUGAAAGGGGGGGAUCGCAAGACCUCUCGCUAUUGGAGCGGCCGAUAUCAGAUUAGCUAGUUGGUGGGGUAAAGGCCUACCAAGGCAACGAUCUGUAGUUGGUCUGAGAGGACGACCAGCCACACUGGGACUGAGACACGGCCCAGACUCCUACGGGAGGCAGCAGUGAGGAAUAUUGGACAAUGGGCGCAAGCCUGAUCCAGCCAUGCCGCGUGCAGGAUGAAGCAUCUAUGGUGUGUAAACUGCUUUUGUACGAGAAGAAACACUCCUUCGUGAAGGGGCUUGACGGUAUCGUAAGAAUAAGGAUCGGCUAACUCCGUG
rnacentral:rRNA from 1 species